rnacentral:rRNA from 1 species
AUUGAACGCUGGCGGCAUGCCUUACACAUGCAAGUCGAACGGCAGCGGGGGAGAAGCUUGCUUUUCCUGCCGGCGAGUGGCGAACGGGUGAGUAAUACACCGGAACGUGCCCUGUAGUGGGGGAUAACUAGUCGAAAGAUUAGCUAAUACCGCAUACGACCUGAGGGUGAAAGUGAGGGACCGAAAGGCCUCAUGCUAUAGGAGCGGCCGAUGUCUGAUUAGCUAGUUGGAGGGGUAAAGGCCUACCAAGGCGACGAUCAGUCGCUGGUCUGAGAAGACGGUAAGCACCACUGUGGCUGGGACACGGCCACAAUUCCUACGUGAGGCAGAAGUGGUGAAUUUUGGACAAUGGGCGAAAGCCUGAUCCAGCAGUGCUGCGUGUGUGAAGAAGGCCUUCGGGUUGUAAAGCACUUUUGUCCGGAAAGAAAUGGCUCUGUUUAAUACCUGGGGUCGAUGACGCUACCGGAAGACUAAGGACCGGCUAACUACGUGCCAGCAGCCGCCGUAA